AUGGAUCGCUACAGUGAGGAUGAAUAUAUUGCUGUGAUCAUUCAUCUUGCCAAAUGUGACACAUCAGCACAACAGAGCAUAACUCAAGGGGGAACGCUCGGCCCUCUAACAUCGGUCUUUACCCGACGCUUUGGAGAACCAAGCAGCCGGAGGCUGUGGAGAGGAGCGAAGCAAACUACACCCAACUUCAGGGAAUAGGCAUUAUUCUAAGUGUCCUUUUUUGCAUUGUUUUCCAUUGCAUGAGCGGGAAAUGGCAGGGCACAAGCAGGUAGCCUAAAUGACUGAACAUAAAGAGCCUGCAGCCUGAUAUUACAUUAUAUUCAUACUUAAAAUGAUGAGAGGCUCAAAGCAGACCAGUGCACACCUGCCUUUUUUAUUAUGUGAUUUCAACCAAAAUGGAACAAGCCUCCAGAGCUGCUAAUUCCGAAAGCCUGACAGGUAGUGAUGCUCCAGUCAGGGCUCCUUGAUAUCGCACCCUGUUAUACGAGGCAAUCCACACAAAAAUAUGCUUUGAUUAAACCAGCGGACCGUCGGUCAGGAUGCAUUACUUGGAUUGUCACAAUUAUCAGCACUGAGGCUCAUUUAAGUUGAUGUAUUAGGAAUUGAUUAUCGUUUUACACGCCAAGUGCUUCGGUUUGUAUGUGCUCGUGAGAGACUGCGUGAUAGGCCGAGGGAAAAGUGAUCAGAAACGGAAUUGAUUGCGCGGCUUUAUCGCAGAGACGGCACUAAGUGUCUCCUAUUUAUACACCGAGCAGUACAAAACGUUUCUCCCUCAGUGCAAAUGGUUAACUUUUGGCGACGAGACCAUUCGUCUGAUACGCGAGGGCGGAAAAUGUCCAUUAAACAGAAAAUCUCAAUCAGCAAAAUUUUCACAUGAGCAAAUCUUUCCAACUUGAAUUAUUUCAACUGUAGAUAUACUUCCUGUCGCAGAUUUAACCGUUGCCGCAGCUCUUUUAUUUGUUUGAAUGAAAGCUAAAACUUUGAAGUAGUAGUCUCAGUGCUUUAGAGGGGGUUAAGUGAGAUGAACUUAAAUGGUCGCCUGCCCGGUGGUUGAGUAAGAUGUUUGGUUCGGCGUGUAGACACGAUUCUGCCUCAAUGUGUGUUUUAGGUUUUGCUUUAAAGUGGAGUUUUGGUUGCAAGAGGAAUCCAGGCAGAGACACAAUGGGCAAAGAGCAUUUAAACCCCCCCUUUGUCAUCAUAAUAGAGGCUUGAAAAUAAAGACAUGCAGGAGAUUCAUUUACGCAAUAGCUAUCUUUAACAAUAUCACAUUGGAAAAAUAAAUACACAGUUCGCCACUUUGUGCUGAACCGGCAGGAAGACAGAAGUGCUUUUGUUUAAGCCACAUGGGCCACUUAUCUGAACAACAAAUAUAAUGCGCAUAUAUUACACGCUGUGAUUCCUGUGAAACUCCAUUAGGAGUCACAAUGAUCUUCAACAACAGCCUCCACAGAGAGGAAU
ensembl:lncRNA